UUCUGAGGACAGCCCAGCUGUAGAGUCGCGGUCUGCCGCUCCUCUGCCUCGUCUUUUAUUCACUUCUUUAUCUUUGCUGUUGUUUAUGCCUUCAUUGCAAGUAACCCCACAGCCCACCACUCUCUCUCUCUCUCUCUCUCUCUCUCUCUCUCUCUCUCUCAUCUCUUAUACCGGGUGAAGGUAAUCAUUCCCUUCAUCAUCACCUCCUACGCCACCCAUAUCAGGACCCUUGCUGCCUCCGCUCGACUGCUGCCCUCAAUCCCCCUUGAAAGAAGCCGGAAGUCUUGGGGGGUGGGGGAGAGGAGGAGAUAAAACCAGGCAAGGGAAGCUUGAUCUUUGAGGGGAAUGUUGUCUGGCUCGAGGCCUUCGUUUCUCUUACAGAUCUGUUUGAAGAGAUCUCGGACCAGGCUUCAUUCCCCCCAAUCGUAGCUUCCAUCUCUCUACCUCUACCGAGCAGUCACCAUGGCCUCAAGAUCUGAAGGUGCGUUAUUUCCGUUCUUCUUUUCGUUUGGCCUUUCCUGUUGUUUCUGCGAUGAGCAGAUUGGAGCAAUGAUGGAGGGUUAUGAUGACUGACUGUCUUCCGAGAUCUUCUCGUCUCAUGUUUUCUUCCCCUUUCCUGACAUGAAGGCUAAAAGGCCUUCAUCAUUACCUCCCGAAAGGGGUUUAUCUCUUGUCUUGCUUCCCUUUCUCCCCCAUGGCAAAUUUGCAUGCUGAGUUAGCUGGAAGAUUUCGAGUCCACAGUGCAGAUAUGAUCACAAGUUACAAGCAAGUGCAUGUGGCAUCUCUUGCUACCUGUCGAUCUCCUCCUCAUCUUGACUGGAUCUUGUUUGGUACUUUGCAUUUUGAUAUGGAAAUGUCAGAUUAGGUUAUAGCAUUUUGUUUUUCCAUCACAACCUCGAUCUUUAUGCUCAGACCAAAACCUAAAUCCAUUCCCAAUGCUACGCUUAGAAUAUUAUCCUGAUGCCACUUCUCAAGAGAUAGAUGCCUUCGGUUCUCACGCUCCAAGACGUACAUCUGCCUGCUGUUGUUGUGUGUAGCCAACACAUCUCGGCCUUCAAAGUUCAAUGUCAUUGUAUCUUCUUUUUUAGGUUAAUCUCAUUUGCAUACUUCUUUCCUACUAGUGGAAACAGGAAAAGCUCCCGUCCAGCUUCAGGUUUCGCUGUAAGAAUGCUAGAAACUGAACCUGUCCUUGCGUCGCAUAACAUGAAUUUGGAAACACGCGUUGCGGUGGCUUCUUCUUCUUCUUCUUCUUCUUCUUGCACAUGGAGAGUGUUGAGAACACAGUACUGUAGGGUUUUGUUUGGACACAGAAGGGUAAACAUGACAGCUUUCAAAUCGGAAACUCUCACACGGAACCAGGGAAAACGUCAGCUUGCACCCAUUGCAUCCCAUCUCGCAGGCUCACGCACCAUCACUCACAGUAGAUCUCGGGGUGACUUUGCCUCCGUUCUUAGCAUCACGUAGUAUGUCAUCUGAGCUCACAACCACACUCAGAUUAGGUUAUACAUCUGAUAACCAGAAAAAGAAGAAGUACGCACUUACUUCCACACCGAACGAACAUCUCAGUUCCAAUAAAUCCAUUUUCUCUGUCAGUAGAUCAAGCUCUACUGAAUGACAUCAAGAUUUUGUUAAAAGGGAUGAAGAUAUCUGUGAUGCACAGACUUGGAAUGUUUUGUUGAAGGUCAAGUUAAGGCUUUUGGACGACUAUAUGCGGCCACUUUUGUGGACAUCUUUACUGUUUGGCUUGUCGGCAGCGGAAGAGUUUGAAUAUAAGCUCUUCGGUGCUUUCUUUUCCAUGAGUUCGCCGUUCCAGGAAGAGCAUUGGAAAUGGUGUCCACGGUAAUCCGACCAAUGUUUCUUUGUGUGGAGGCGAGGGUACUAUCAAAUUGGAUUUGUGGCAGAGAAAUGAUGUUAAGCAUUGCACUUUUGUUCUUGUAAUUAUUUGCAGUAGAAUAACAUUUGUUAAGCAACAGCUUCGGAAAACAUUUCUGGUUCAUUCCUUAUAUCUCAUAUUUGUUCUGCUCUUUCAUUUA